rnacentral:rRNA from 1 species
UACGGGGGGGGCAAGCGUUGUUCGGAAUUACUGGGCGUAAAGGGCUCGUAGGUGGUCAACUAAGUCAGAAGUGAAAUCCCUCGGCUUAACCGGGGAACUGCGUCUGAUACUGGAUGGCUUGAGAUUGGGAGAGGGAUGCGGAAUUCCAGGUGUAGCGGUGAAAUGCGUAGAUAUCUGGAGGAACACCGGUGGCGAAGGCGGCAUCCUGGACCAACACUGACACUGAGGAGCGAAAGCCAGGGGAGCAAACGGG